GACGAAGGGGGCUAGCGUUGUUCGGAAUUACUGGGCGUAAAGCGCGUGUAGGCGGUUGCCAAAGUCGGGUGUGAAAGCCUUGAGCUCAACUCAAGAAUUGCACUCGAUACUUGGUGACUAGAGGACCGGAGAGGAUAGUGGAAUUCCCAGUGUAGUGGUGAAAUGCGCAGAUAUCAGGAAGAACACCAAUGGCGAAAGCAGCUCUCUGGGACGGUACUGACGCUGAGACGCGAAAGCGUGGGGAGCGAACAGG
rnacentral:rRNA from 1 species